ACAUCCGGGGCGGCCUCGUCCUCCCCCAGCAGCUCCCGGCCAACAACACCAAGUUCAGACACCUACGAGAAGGGCGAGUUCCUGCUGAUGGAGUUCACUGCCCGCCCUAACCUUCUGGAACUCCGCGUCCUCCACGACGGCUACAAAGA